rnacentral:rRNA from 1 species
UACGUAGGGGGCUAGCGUUGUCCGGAAUCAUUGGGCGUAAAGAGCGUGUAGGCGGUCCGGUAAGUCCGCUGCGAAAGUCGGGGGCUCAACCCUCGAAUGCCGGUGGAUACUGUCGGGCUAGAGUGCGGAAGAGGCGAGUGGAAUUCCUGGUGUAGCGGUGAAAUGCGCAGAUAUCAGGAGGAACACCUAUUGCGAAGGCAGCUCGCUGGGACGUAACUGACGCUGAGAACGCGAAAGCUGGGGAGCAAACAGG